rnacentral:rRNA from 1 species
AGAGUUUGAUCCUGGCUCAGGAUGAACGCUAGCGGCAGGCUUAACACAUGCAAGUCGAGGGGUAUAUGUCUUCGGAUAUAGAGACCGGCGCACGGGUGCGUAACGCGUAUGCAAUCUACCUUUUACAGGGGAAUAGCCCAGAGAAAUUUGGAUUAAUGCCCCAUAGUAUUAUGAAAUGGCAUCAUUUUAUAAUUAAAGUCACAACGGUAAAAGAUGAGCAUGCGUCCCAUUAGUUAGUUGGUAAGGUAACGGCUUACCAAGACAAUGAUGGGUAGGGGUCCUGAGAGGGAGAUCCCCCACACUGGUACUGAGACACGGACCAGACUCCUACGGGAGGCAGCAGUGAGGAAUAUUGGACAAUGGGCGCAAGCCUGAUCCAGCCAUGCCGCGUGCAGGAAGACGGUCCUAUGGAUUGUAAACUGCUUUUAUACAGGAAGAAACACUCCGACGUGUCGGAGCUUGACGGUACUGUAGGAAUAAGGAUCGGCUAACUCCGUGCCAGCAGCCGCGGUAAUACGGAGGAUCCAAGCGUUAUCCGGAAUCAUUGGGUUUAAAGGGUCCGUAGGCGGUUUAAUAAGUCAGUGGUGAAAUCUGGUCGCUCAACGAUCAAACGGCCAUUGAUACUGUUAGACUUGAAUUAUAAGGAAGUAACUAGAAUAUGUAGUGUAGCGGUGAAAUGCUUAGAGAUUACAUGGAAUACCAAUUGCGAAGGCAGGUUACUACUAAUGGAUUGACGCUGAUGGACGAAAGCGUGGGUAGCGAACAGGAUUAGAUACCCUGGUAGUCC